UGUGGUCGAAUCCAUGAUUCCAAGAAAAGUUUCGAUGUGUUGUUAGGGCAGCUCGUACCGUAAUCCGACUCAGGUGAGUGGGAUGGGUAUUCUAAGGCGAUUGGGUUAAAAUUGGUUAAGGAACUCGGCAACUUGACACCGUAACUUCGGAAAAAGGUGUGCCACGGUAGGGUUUAUAGCCCGAUGUGGUCGCAGAGAAAUGGGAGUAGCGACUGUUUAUCAAAAACACAGGGCUGUGCUAAGUCACAAGACGACGUAUACAGCCUGACGCCUGCCCGGUGCUGGAAGGUUAAGAGGAUUUGUCAGCGUAAGCGAAGCAGAGAAUCGAAGCCCCAGUAAACGGCGGCCGUAACGAUAACGGUCCUAAGGUAGCGAAAUUCCUUGUCGGGUAAGUUCCGACCUGCACGAAUGGCGUAACGACUUCUCCGGUGUCUCAACCAAAUGCCCAGCGAAUUUGAACUCUCAGUGAAAAUGCUGAGUUCCCGCAGAAAGACGGAAAGACCCCGUGAACCUUUACUCUAGCUUGGCAGUGAUCUUAGAUCUAGCAUGUGUAGGAUAGGUGGGAGCCUUUGAAGCUUGGGCGCUAGCUCAGGUGGAGGCAACCUUGAAAUACCACCCUUGUUGGCUUUGAGAUCUAACCUGCGCUCUGAUCAGGGCGAGGGACACUGUCUGGUGGGGAGUUUGACUGGGGCGGUCGCCUCCAAAAAAGUAACGGAGGCGUACGAAGGUUCGCUCAGCCUGAUUGGAAACCAGGCGGUGAGUGCAUUGGCAUAAGCGAGCUUAACUGCAAGACCUACAAGUCGAGCAGAUGCGAAAGCAGGUCAAAGUGAUCCGGUGGUCCCGCGUGGAAGGGCCAUCGCUCAACGGAUAAAAGGUACUCCGGGGAUAACAGGCUGAUUCCGCCCAAGAGUUCACAUCGACGGCGGAGUUUGGCACCUCGAUGUCGGCUCAUCUCAUCCUGGGGCUGGAGCAGGUCCCAAGGGUAUGGCUGUUCGCCAUUUAAAGAGGUACGCGAGCUGGGUUCAGAACGUCGUGAGACAGUUUGGUCCUUAUCUUCUGUGGGCGUAGGAAAAUUGAGUGGAGCUGUCCUUAGUACGAGAGGACCGGGAUGGACAAACCUCUGGUGUUCCUGUUGUCGCGCCAGCGGCAUCGCAGGGUAGCUAUGUUUGGAACGGAUAACCGCUGAAAGCAUCUAAGCGGGAAGCCAACCACAAGAUUAGUUUUCCCUAAAGCUUCGGCUUUCUAAAGACUCGUUCGAGACUAGGACGUUGAUAGGUUGCAAGUGUACUUCCAGCAAUGGAUUCAGCUAAGCAAUACUAAUUGGUCGUGAGGCUUCUU
rnacentral:rRNA from 1 species